UACGUAGGGUGCAAGCGUUGUCCGGAAUUAUUGGGCGUAAAGAGCUCGUAGGCGGUUUGUCGCGUCUGCUGUGAAAACUCGGGGCUUAACCCCGGGCCUGCAGUGGGUACGGGCAGACUAGAGUGCGGUAGGGGAGACUGGAAUUCCUGGUGUAGCGGUGGAAUGCGCAGAUAUCAGGAGGAACACCGAUGGCGAAGGCGGGUCUCUGGGCCGAUACUGACGCUGAGGAGCGAAAGCGUGGGGAGCAAACAGG
rnacentral:rRNA from 1 species